AGACACUAUGUUCGUUAAACUGAUCCCUCGGUAACUGUCAUACGAGGACUUCUGUCCUUUCUUAAAGACCGGAAUGGUUAGUGUUCGUGAACAGUCAG
rnacentral:precursor_RNA from 1 species